rnacentral:rRNA from 1 species
UACAGAGGUCUCAAGCGUUGUUCGGAUUCAUUGGGCGUAAAGGGUGCGUAGGCGGCGCGGUAAGUCGGGUGGUGAAAUCUCGGGGCUUAACUCCGAAACUGCAUUCGAUACUGCCGUGCUUGAGGACUGGAGAGGAGACUGGAAUUCACGGUGUAGCAGUGAAAUGCGUAGAUAUCGUGAGGAAGACCAGUGGCGAAGGCGGGUCUCUGGGCCGAUACUGACGCUGAGGAGCGAAAGCGUGGGGAGCGAACAGG